rnacentral:lncRNA from 1 species
CUCCUGCUGCUCCAUUGCUCUCAGCUAUGGGUUGGAAGGAGUUCUACAGCAGCCAAAGUUUUCUUCCUUCCUUUCCCUUCCUUUCUUCUUGUAACCUCUUGUAGCUAGUGUUGCCUUUAUUUUUUUCUUUGUGUUUGGCCUCUUCGAUAGGCUUGAGGACCUUCUUUUUGUUCUUGUUGCUGUCAAUCUCAACCAUAGGAUGUCUGGGGUUGAAGCAGGUGGUGAGAACUUGGUUGGAG